rnacentral:rRNA from 1 species
GUGGUAGGCUUAACACAUGCAAGUCGAACGAGAUUUAUUUGUGUUUACACAAAUAAUGAUAGUGGCGCACGGGUGAGUAACACGUGGGAACAUACCUUGAAGUGGGGGAUAACUUUUGGAAACGGAAGCUAAUACCGCAUACUCCCUGAGGGGGAAAGAUUUAUCGCUUUAAGAUUGGCCCGCGGAAGAUUAGGCAGUUGGUGAGGUAAAGGCUCACCAAACCUACGAUCUAUAGCUAGUCUGAGAGGACGAUCAGCCACACUGGAACUGAGACACGGUCCAGACUCCUACGGGAGGCAGCAGUGAGGAAUAUUGGGCAAUGGGGGCAACCCUGACCCAGCCAUACCACGUGAGUGAAGAAGGUCUUCGGAUUGUAAAGCUCUUUCGGAUGUGAAGAUGAUGACAGUAGCAUCUAAAGAAGCACCGGCAAACUUCGUGCCAGCCGCCGCGGUAAAAC